GCGUUAGUGGUGUAACGGUAACAUUCAACCCUUCCAUGAUUCAACAAGAUCGUGAGGUUGGGCCCUGGGUUCGACUCCCAGCUAACGCA